ACCAAUUUCAAUAUCUUAUCCUUGGGAUUUGGGAAGCCAUUGACCUCAGCAACUGAUUCUAUUCUGAGAUCAGGUCAUAAAAAGCAUGGACUGAGAUCAAACCUUCCUUUUAUGCUGCCUUGUUAGCUAGGAGAUCCAUAACAACGAGCUCAAAGCAAUCAGCUUGGACGUCAACCAUUAUCCUCACCCACUUUACAAUUACACCUCUCUGCGUGUUCUUGAGCCUAUCAGCGGUUUUGGCAUGGCUAAAGUUUUGGAAUCUGGGGAUGCAAAGUUUAAGCAAGGCGACUUGGUUUGGGGAAUGACUGGCUGGGAAUGGUAUGCGUGGUUUGACUGCCUAUGCUGGUUUUUAUGAGAUCUUCUCUCCUAAGAAAGGAGAGACGGUCUUCGUUUCAUCGGCAUCAGAAGCGGUAGGUCAGCUUGUUGGCCAAUUUGCCAAGUUGGCCAGGUGCUAUGUUGUUGGGAGUGCUGGAAGCAAAGACAAGGUUGAUUUGCUGAAGAACAAGUUUCGCUUUGACCAGAAAGUCAGUAAAAUGGAUCACAAAAGAGGUGGACUAAAGCAUGCACAAGUUUGGUUUAUGGGAAAUAAGUGAAGGUUUCACUCUUCAAUACUUUCACAGCAGAGUAAUUGAAGAGCGGAUGCAGACGACAACUUUUAGUCCUCUCCAAUUGCACUCUUCUUUCCUUAUAAUUGCAUUUUCUACUUAAGAAAUGCCUGGGUUUUUUAGUUUAUGGGUUGUUGACAUUCUUUCACAACUGUGUGUAUAUUUGGAAUCAAUUUCAGUUUCACUUCAUUGAUUCGUUUUUACAUAUUGUAAUCGUUGAAUGUAAAUUAGUUUUCCCUCUUUGAAUAUUGCAGUAGCAGCUUGGUUCA